CCUUCGCCUAUUUUCCCUACAAAUAGCAAUCCUACAAAUUGGGCUUCAAUCUCACUAUCUCUCACCACGAUUUCUAACUCCUCACCCACGAAUUCUUUCUCUCCUAGGUUCUCAGUAACAUGAUUUCAUAGUUUUGUAAAAUCAUUUUUUUACUUUUACAAUAUAUACUUCUAUUCUUUCUCCUUCGUGUGCAUAUCAAACAGCAAUUUUGGACUACAAGAGGACUUAAUGGCGGCUGAAAUAAAUUUCUUUAGUGAAAUUAACAGCUAGUCAAUAAAUUGGAAAUUAAAGGUUCGUGUUGUUAGGCUUUGGGAAAAUUCAAAUCACGAUAGACCCAUACACUUUUUUCUAUUGAGAUUAUUGUGAUGGAUGAAAAGGGCGACCGCAUUCACGCAAGUAUUGGUAGGUCUUUUAUCCGAAGGUUCAAACAACAAAUUAAGGAAAUGAGUUUGUACAUCAUGAGGAAUUUCGUGGUUUGUCCAAAUAAUAUGACACUGAAGACCAAAAACCACAAGUUCAAGCUGAUGUUCAUGCAUAAGACCACUGUUGAGGAUAUACGUGAUCCACAUUUCAAUAUGCAUAUCUUCAAAUUUAGAACCUAUGAGCAGUUGUCAAAUCCCCAAGAAUUUGACAAUACUGAGCUAUUCGCUAUAAAGACGUACAAUCUAUCAAACAAGAUGAUAGCAUCCGUUUGUUCAUGAACAUUGAGAUACAAGAUUAUGCGAGCAAUAACAUUUCUGCAACUCUUUGGGAAGACUUUGGCGAAAAGAUAAGCCACAUUUGAAUGGAUCCAAUGAUAAACCUGUUGUUGUUGUCAUGCAAUUGAUUAGAGCACAUCGAUAUCGAGAACAAUAUUCGGUGAGGAAAAAGAGGCACAUGUCGAAGCUUUGGAUCAAUUCAAAUCUUCCUCAAGCUGUUGACUUUUGCUUCGGGUCCAUAAUAGCCCGUUUGGCCAAGCUGCAAAAAUCAGCUUAUUUUGAGAAGUGCUUUUUUUCAAAAGUACUUUUCUCAAAAGUACUUGUGAAUUAGACCGUGGAUGGUGUUAUUUAGCAUGCAAAAAUUGCGCAAAGAAAGUGGAGAAAUAGGGGAAAAAUUCUAUUGUAAGAAAUGCGAGCAGAUUCAAUCUGCCACUUAUAGGUACAUGCUACAAGUUAAGGUGAUGGAAUGCACUGGUAAAAUUUCUUUGUUGUUGUGGGAUAAGGAUGCAACUAAGAUUAUCGAAAAGUCGGCAAAUGAUUUAAGGAUCCUGUAUUUGAGACUUCUGGUGCUGCAGACGACUCUUCAUGUCCAAUGGAGAUAGAAAAUAUUUUGAAAAAAGGUGGAUGUUUAAAGUUGAGUUUAAGAGUUCCAACAAUCAGAAUAAAGAUGAAGUCUUAAAAGUUGUUACGCUUACUGACGACGACUCCACAAGAAGAGAUGUUCAAAGAUUCCAUUGAAGAUAAUGAGUUGAUCAAUGUUGCAAAUACACAUGCUAAGAUAGGUAUAACUAAUCCUACAGCAGUGGUUGAAGAAGAUUCGAAUGCAUAACUAUCGGGAAAUAAGAUCAAGAGAGUAGUUACAAAGAAGAAGAUAACAUAAGUUGUUUGAUAUGUAACAGUUGGAGAAACUAAGAACUGUCUGAUUAGUUAGUUUAUUAGUUUUAUUACUUAUGAAAAAGAUGUUUGAAUCA